rnacentral:rRNA from 1 species
GACGAACGCUGGCGGCGUGCUUAACACAUGCAAGUCGAACGGAGCACCCUUGAAUGAGGUUUCGGCCAAAGGAAAGGAAUGCUUAGUGGCGGACUGGUGAGUAACGCGUGAGGAACCUGCCUUUCAGAGGGGGACAACAGCUGGAAACGGCUGCUAAUACCGCAUGACGCAUUCGGAUGGCAUCAUCUGAAUGCCAAAGAUUUAUCGCUGAAAGAUGGCCUCGCGUCUGAUUAGCUAGUUGGUGAGGUAACGGCCCACCAAGGCGACGAUCAGUAGCCGGACUGAGAGGUUGACCGGCCACAUUGGGACUGAGAUACGGCCCAGACUCCUACGGGAGGCAGCAGUGGGGAAUAUUGGGCAAUGGGCGCAAGCCUGACCCAGCAACGCCGCGUGAAGGAAGAAGGCUUUCGGGUGUAAACUUCUUUUAAGAGGGAAGAGCAGAAGACUGUACCUCUAGAAUAAGCCACGGCUAACUACGUGCCAGCAG